CAUCUUGAAGAGUGGUCAGAUACCUUAACCUCUGUUCCACUUGUGUUUUCUUAAAAUAACCCUGAGACUCUGCUUUCAGACCUCGCCUUUACCUCCUUACAUGAUGCUGUUCUUUCUCCUCCUACUGCUAGAAAUACAGAUCAUUUGGCUUCAGAAAUAAGGCUAGAGGCUGUCCUAUUCACUAGUUCAGAUGAGCACAGCUGAGAGGAGGCAUGAAUUGAGUAGAGCACUUGACUGCGAGCCAGGAGAGCCAGGUUCUGCUGCUAACCUAGCUGUGUGGUCUUGGGGAUGCCACUUAGCUUCUCUGGGCCAAAGAUUCAACACUGAAAGUCUGUGAUUCUUCUAAAACAACCUUCAUUAAUAGCUAGUAAACUUGGAUUCAACCUCUCACGGUUGACCGCACAAGUCAAGGCUGGGCCUCAGUUGCCUUAGUGGCAGUUGGGACCACCUAGCAUUGUCCAGUGGAAGGCACCAGAGAAACAGAAAAGUGCUAUCUUCCAAGCAUCCUUCCUCCAAUGCACUGCGGACGGCUGUGCAAAGCAGGGUGGAGGGAGGAGUUGUAAGGAUUUCUAUUCCCUGG
rnacentral:lncRNA from 1 species